UACAGACUGGGACCAGUGCCUGUGGAUGU
rnacentral:piRNA from 1 species